rfam:Salmo salar isolate Sally breed double haploid chromosome ssa18, whole genome shotgun sequence.
UGUUUUCACUACUGUAAGUCGCUCUGGAUAAGAGUGUCUGCUAAAUGACUAAAA